rnacentral:lncRNA from 1 species
GGAGUAAUGGAGUUGCGUAGGGUCCGUCGCAGGGAGUGGAGCAGUGUUGUCCGUUACUGUGGCCUGCCAGGGAGUAAUGGAGCCGCGUAGGGCCCGCCGCAGGGAGUGGGGCAGAAUCGUGGCCUGCAGUUGAAGUCGUGGGCGGAGUCCGGCUCCCGUAGGAGUCCAGACGAAGUCUGUCUGCAGCCGUUGGGGUCGAGGACAAAGCCCGGCUCCCGUAGGAGUCCGGAC